CCUUGUGAAAAUGUUAAUUUGUUUCAGUUUGAUACGGACCAGAUGAUCAUUGUGAGGCGCUCGUUAUUUCUCUACUUAUAAAUCCGCAAAAAACUAAUAUAAAUCCAUGUUGUUUUAUUUGGGGAUAGGGAUGAACCGGCCUUCCCACGAACGAGCAAAGCUACCCUGACCGUGCAAUAUGGCAGCCGUAAAUUGUUAUCGUGUGGCCAAAAUAACCUCCAUUUCUCACCGCCACAAACGCUCGUGUUAGCUCGUCGUCCAAGAAAUGGCAAUGAAGCUUCGCGUAUGUGUUCUGUGGGUAAUGUAGACUUCCAGAGGUGGUAUUUUUCGUUCUGAUAAAAACAUGGACACAGGUAAAAGAAAGGAUACUCAAAAAGGAAAAACAUGGGGACAAAGUGAAAACAAAAAAUAUGGAGAUGCGAGAACCAGAGGGAAGAAGAAACCAGAGAAAUAAACCAUGGCCUUGUGAAAAUGUUAAUUUGUUUCAGUUUGAUACGGACCAGAUGAUCAUUGUGAGGCGCUCGUUAUUUCUCUAUUUAUAAAUCCGCAAAAAACUAAUAUAAAUCCACGUUGUUUUAUUUGGGGAUAGGGAUGAACCGGCCUUCCCACGAACGAGCAAAGCUACCCUGACCGUGCAAUAUGGCAGCCGUAAAUUGUUAUCGUGUGGCCAAAAUAACCUCCAUUUCUCACCGCCACAAACGCUCGUGUUAGCUCGUCGUCCAAGAAAUGGCAAUGAAGCUUCGCGUAUGUGUUCUGUGGGUAAUGUAGACUUCCAGAGGUGGUAUUUUUCGUUCUGAUAAAAACAUGGACACAGGUAAAAGAAAGGAUACUCAAAAAGGAAAAACAUGGGGACAAAGUGAAAACAAAAAAUAUGGAGAUGCGGGGGAUCGAAACCCGUGCCUCUCGCAUGCAAAGCGAGCGCUCUACCAUUUGAGUUACAUCCCCUUUGUGUUGUGAUUUCUUUGUUCAUUCUGAUAUUGUUUUCUUCUCAUAAACGCUGUAAUGCCCCCACGCUACUACUGUAUGUGCUGCAUUACUAAAAAUAAAUGGAAAACGUUUAGAAUCUACCGGAUGAUAACAGGGAAAGAUAAACCAGGCGCAUUGAUCGACACGUUCCCAGCUGCAGCCUUUCACGUCGUCUCUCCUCCGCCCGUUAUUCCCCGUCUCUGUUCGUAGAGAGGCUUCCAUGGCGACGCAAAACACGACAAGUUCAUGGAAGCGAACCAGAAGGCGACGGCGCCAACCACCCUGCUGCAUCGCGCGGCAUAAUGAAGGACGGUGGAGCCACACUGCAACUCCAUGGAGACGACACACACGCAUGGGGGAGGCGGUCGCUCGUCGGCAGUGAUGCAACGCUCUACGACGACCGUUGGUUCGGCGACGCAGCAACUCAUCCACGCACAACUCUGCGGUGCAACCUCGAGGCAACGCUGCUGGUGCUUCAAGUCCCCGGCGGCGGAGCUGCAAUGGAGCGCAUGCAUCGCAGCAUCCGCCAUGGACGCCGGCGGUGCAUCUCAGCUUCCGUCGUUGUCACCACGCGCUGCGUCGCAGCAUCCGCCAUGGCCGCCGGUGCUACAUCUUAGCUUCUAUCAUCGUCACCAUGCGCUGCGUCGGAGCUACCGACAUGGCCGCCAUGCUGCGUCACAGCACCCGUCGCUGCCUAUGGAGCUUCACAGAGAGGGGUGGGGGACGCCGGUGUUCCAGUGAAGCUCUGUCGAGGCUGUACAAUGGUGCACCGGAGCGUCGUCGGCGCUGCGAUGGUGACCGCGGCGAGCGGCUGACGGGGGCAAUGCAACUCCGGCGAUGUUGCCUUGAAGCUGCACCAGAGCAACGCCGGUCCGUCUGAAGCAUAGCUGGCGCUGCAAUGUAGCCUCGCCGGAGUUGCAAUGGAGCUUCGCUGGCUGCAUUGGAGCUUCACCGGAGCUGCAAUGGAGCUUCGCCGCGUCGCGCUGUGCUGCCAUGGAGCUUCGUCGCUGGCCGUCGGCGCUGCCAUGGAGUGCCGCAUUGUAGCUUGUCGGAGAGAGAGCCCUUGCUACAAGUAGCCUGCUGCGAACUGGUCGCUCGUGGAGCAUCGGUGGCAGCAGCAGGGAAGUGUUGCGAUGCAGUUUGCCGUCAGAGUCGCCGGAGAGAGUGUUGAUGCUACAGUCAACGCCGUCCCCGCAGAUGCCGGUGCGGAAGGGAAGAGUCAGAGGCGCUGCUAUUUUGUGGCAUUAAUUGGUGGUCAGGGUGCUGCUGUGCUACAAUGGGGAGCUUGGACGUGAGAAAGGACGAGAUGCUGUAGGGGAGAUCGGACGGUUACGAAUCUGAAAAUGGACGGCAUGCUAGGCGGAUGAUUUUUUUUUAAAGAAAUCAUCCGGUAGAUUUGUAGCAGCCACCAAAAUAAAUUCUUUGGUCUCAUCCGGGUAUUCUAAAAUUACUCCUUUUCUAUAUUUCUAUAUCUAUACUACUAUUAAAAGACCAAACAUGACUUUCCCUACAUCCACAUCAGAAAGUGCACACGGGAUAACCCCCCACGUCCGAUCAGACCCACUUGGUAUCAUCCAACUGUCCACGUUAGAUCAACCAUACUACAAUCAGAUCGACAGUUCACAACAAAUGUUCUGCCGACAGACUCCCCCGUUCAGGAUGCUACACACCUCCACGAUCUACGCCGCCACCACGCCAUGAACCCCCGUGAUCAACGUUGGUGUCUGCGACGUCCUCGACCUGGCGGACAUCCUCGACCCGCCUUGCUGCCCUACCUCUCCUCGCCCCAUCGCCGUCGCGGCGCCGCCUUAGCCCCUGGUGGCCGCGAUGUCCUCCACCCCGGUGCACGUCCUUCCUCAACCCGCCUUGCUGCCCUACCUCUCCUCGUCCCGCCGUCGUCUCCACACCGCCGUCGCCCCUGGUGGCCACGACCUCCUCCACCCGGCGUGCUGCCCUACCUCCGGUGUCAUCACCCCGUGUGGCCUGCAGCAUCUGAGGACAUAUGACUACUUUCUGAUCUGCCAGCGCACAUGUUACAUCAUUUGAAUUAGCAAGUAUAGAUGAUCAGUCAGAAGACAAAAGGAAAUUGCUCUUUUAAUCUGACAGUCUGUAAUUUGUACUAUGAAAUUUGAUACUUACAGUACAUCAUGAUCUGCAUGACAAACUGAGUUGACAAUAUGGCAUCCUCUAAGCAUAGUGGGGCACAUACUCCCUUUCAGGACCUGACGAACAACGGGAAUUCAGGUAAAUACAUCUAUCACGUACUCUUACCUACUUCAAUCUUGUAAAUCCAGAAUAUGUCGUUGCCUCAUAGGUCAAAAAACAGAUCCAAAAGAACUAAAGAGACAGAGAUAAAGGGAGAGGUAAACAGGGAUGCAAUACUAAAAAAUUAAGACAGGAGGCAAGGGAUCUAAGAAAGCCACGUCUGCUAUUCUAAAUGGAACCAACACUCCAUCUAAGCCGCCCAUGGCCAUGUCGCCUGGUUAUUCCAUUUUCUAUGUUCUUUAUCAUACAUUUCAUGAAUCACAAGUAAAGUCAUGUUCUUUUGGACAGGUUUUGACACUGUGGACAUGCCCAGUGCGCAGUCUACUGUCACCCAGCAACGACACACCCCAGCUGCGGAAGGUCAUGUGUUCUCUUGUCAAACAUAAUACCUUAGUUUGUGUGUCAACAACCGACAUUGUACAUACAAUUAUGAUGCAGGCAUACCUCUUGAUAUGAUAAUGAGUGAUCAGACUCCACUUCAUGCUCCAAAUUCAUUAACACCGGAUAGUGCCGGUUCUAACAAGGAAAAUGUUCAUAAUAUCGACUUUGACAUUGAGUCCUCCCAACCGACUGUGUUACGACCGCCACUUCAAGCCUACAGAUGCAGCAGUUCAUAUGCAAAACAAGCACUCAAGAGGCAGAGGGAAAGUGCCCGGUAUGAGCAACAUAAACAAGGUAUAUUACAAAGACUACGUGACAAACGGCGUCGAGCCAAAUCUACAGUAGUCCUUACAACUGGAGAACAAAAACAAUCUGACACAGGUGAUGCCAGCUGCAUGAAACACUGCAUAUCCAAUCUUUGACUUCCUGACUGACAGUCACUCAAUUUCUACAGCUGAUGAAGAUUGUGAUUGGCUACGGAGCAUCUACAAGUAAGGUCAGGUGGAAGUGUGUUCUUAGAGAAUGCAUGCAUCUAUAAGAUGAUAAAGAUCGAUUGCUAUCCAUCCUCAGAUGACACGAAUGCCACACCAGAAUGGGUAUUAAACAGAGGCAAAGAGUAUUUGGAAAAUGAUAUGGUAAGUCUUAGUUUUCUACAUAUUUCUAUGAAUUACAGCGAGAACGACCGAUUCGUCCACAUAGGAGUACAACUAAAAUAAUCAUUUUAUUCAGAUAUUCAUUCCAAUAAAUACGGACGACAUUCACUGGUACCUAUGUGUUAUAAAUGCCAGAAAACUAUGUGUUCAAGUGCUCGACUCGCUAGGCCCAUCAAUGAACUGCAAAGACCUCACUAAUACGGUUAGUAGUUAGUCCUACUGCCCCAUCUUUUCAUAUGUAGUUUUUCUUCUUCUUUAUUUCUCACUUGUGAUGCUUAUACUUUUUCAUUUGUUGGUACAACAGCUAGAGGGACUGGAUGAUUUAUUCAAAUAUGCAUCCGAGCACAUGGAAUUAAAAUUCGAUAAGUGGACUGAUCUAAAUGUUACAACAUGAGAAAGAGAAGAAUAUAUUAAGAGCAGUCUUCAGACAGAUGGGUCAUCUUGUGGUCUCUGCAUGUUAAAUUACAUGGAGUACCUCAUAGGAGAUAGUUUGUCCGACACUCCCGAACAGGUCGAUGGGGACGAGAGGAGUAUUAGCGCGGCAGCAAAAUCGGCUGACACGAUAGUCGCCCACUCACCUUGCCAUGGAUGUGCUGCAAACUAAAUUCACUUUCAUGGGAGAACAUAAUUUUACUGAAGCAUUUUGGCGGUCUUGGUGAUUUACGGGCAUUCAACCAAGCAUUGCGGGCAAGACAAGACUGCAGGCUUAUUCAAUGAGAGUUCAUGUGCUAGUGUUCUGAAGGCCAACCAUUUUCCAAAUGGUAUAUACUCUGGCCACGGCUUAAUUUCCGGAUGUUGUCUUCGCUGUCGCAGCAGGGUGUGGAGCAUGGCUUAGCUCUAUUAAAACAUGUUAUGAUUUGGCGGAUCUGAUCAGGUUUCAAAAGUACAAAAUUUGGCAUGAUAACCAGAUGAUGGAUUGGUGAAAGUGUCAGAUUUGAGGUUGCGUUCAUGUCUUCACUGGGUAAGGCAGUUGAAUACAUAGGUGGGAUCGGUGAUGAUUGGUUUAUUCGGAGCAUUUUUCUCCCACAUGAUGUUGGAGCUGUAUUAAGGAAUA